AUUGAACGCUGGCGGCAGGCCUAACACAUGCAAGUCGAGCGGCAGCGGGAAAGUAGCUUGCUACUUUUGCCGGCGAGCGGCGGACGGGUGAGUAACGCCUGGGAAAUUGCCCAGUCGAGGGGGAUAACAGUUGGAAACGACUGCUAAUACCGCAUACGCCCUACGGGGGAAAGCAGGGGACCUUCGGGCCUUGCGCGAUUGGAUAUGCCCAGGUGGGAUUAGCUAGUUGGUGAGGUAAUGGCUCACCAAGGCGACGAUCCCUAGCUGGUCUGAGAGGAUGAUCAGCCACACUGGAACUGAGACACGGUCCAGACUCCUACGGGAGGCAGCAGUGGGGAAUAUUGCACAAUGGGGGAAACCCUGAUGCAGCCAUGCCGCGUGUGUGAAGAAGGCCUUCGGGUUGUAAAGCACUUUCAGCGAGGAGGAAAGGUUGGCGCCUAAUACGUGUCAACUGUGACGUUACUCGCAGAAGAAGCACCGGCUAACUCCGUGCCAGCAGCCGCCGUAACUC
rnacentral:rRNA from 1 species